UACGUAGGGGGCUAGCGUUGUCCGGAAUCAUUGGGCGUAAAGCGCGCGUAGGCGGCCCGGUAAGUCCGCUGUGAAAGUCCAGGGCUCAACCCUGGAACGCCGGUGGAUACUGUCGGGCUAGAGUCCGGAAGAGGCGAGUGGAAUUCCUGGUGUAGCGGUGGAAUGCGCAGAUAUCAGGAGGAAUACCCAUAGCGAAGGCAGCUCGCUGGGACGGUACUGACGCUAAGGCGCGAAAGCGUGGGGAGCGAACAGG
rnacentral:rRNA from 1 species